AGCUGCGGUGGUCCUCCUGGCUGGCAUCGAUGAAGUAGCGCACUGUGCCGUCCUCGUUGAACACCUGGGCACAAUUGAAUUGGGGACCAGGUGAGGCGGGGCUGUAUCACAUGGGCCACCUGUGGCCCUGUGCUGGCCACAUCUACACACUCUCUCUAUCCUCACAGCAGCCCCAGGCAGUGGACACGGCUAUUAUCAUAUCAGUUUUCCAGCUAAGGAAAAGGAGGCUCAGAGAGGUACAGUGACUUGCCUGAGGCCAGGCCACUAAAAAUGGCCCACAGGAGUCAGUCUCCAGGGCCUCACAGGCUCCUCCGUGUCCUCCCCUUUCUCAAAAUAAAAGGGUCUCCAGGGGAUCACUGACCAGACAAAGCGGCAUCCAGUGAGCUCUCCAGGGACGCAGAGGUGCUCCCGGACAAAGCACUGGCUAGAAUCUCAGACCAGAGGAAAGUCCGGCUCACUGUGCGCCGGGCCCAAGCCCCUUCUCGGGAGCUACCAAGAAUGCUCAGAGAUCACACUGGACCCCAACUGCCUCUCCUAGCAACAAAUGCAGAAGGCAACCACUGGUCCAAAGCUCUAGGAGAGGGAGGAGGGUCCUUGCUCCAUUGGGGCUAAGAAGUUGAUUCUCAAGAAGCACAGGCCACCCUUCUCCGUUCCAGCCACCCUCACCUCAGGCCAACACUGGCCCUGAGAGCCUCUCCUGCCUCCCAGAUAUCCACACGCUCUGGGGCGAUGACUCGGCCGGUGAAGGGGCCCAUCUCCGUGCCUGCCUUGAUCCACGUCUUGGAGAAGAUGCCGAGGC